rnacentral:rRNA from 1 species
UACGUAGGGUGCAAGCGUUGUUCGGAAUUACUGGGCGUAAAGGGUGUGUAGGCGGUCGUGUAAGAUAGCGGUGAAAUGCCGGGGCUCAACCCCGGAACUGCCUUUAUAACUAUGCGACUAGAAUGACAGAGAGGAUAUUGGAAUACCCAGUGUAGAGGUGAAAUUCGUAGAUAUUGGGUAGAACACCGGUGGCGAAGGCGAGUAUCUGGCUGUAAAUUGACGCUGAGGCACGAAAGCAUGGGGAUCAAAC